rnacentral:tRNA from 1 species
GGAGGAGGGUAAUAGUGGUAGAGUGUGUGCUUAGCAUGCAUGAGGUCCUGGGUUCAAUCCCCAGUACCUCCA